AGAGUUUGAUCAUGGCUCAGGACGAACGCUGGCGGCGUGCUUAACACAUGCAAGUCGAACGGAAAGGCCCUUCGGGGUACUCGAGUGGCGAACGGGUGAGUAACACGUGGGUGAUCUGCCCUGCACUCUGGGAUAAGCCUGGGAAACUGGGUCUAAUACCGGAUAGGACCGCAUGCUUCAUGGUGUGUGGUGCAAAGCUUUUGCGGUGUGGGAUGAGCCCGCGGCCUAUCAGCUUGUUGGUGGGGUAAUGGCCUACCAAGGCGACGACGGGUAGCAGGCCUGAGAGGGUGACCGGCCACACUGGGACUGAGAUACGGCCCAGACUCCUACGGGAGGCAGCAGUGGGGAAUAUUGCACAAUGGGCGCAAGCCUGAUGCAGCGACGCCGCGUGAGGGAUGACGGCCUUCGGGUUGUAAACCUCUUUCAGUAGGGACGAAGCGAAAGUGACGGUACCUACAGAAGAAGGACCGGCCAACUACGUGCCAGCAGCCGCGGUAAUACGUAGGGUCCGAGCGUUGUCCGGAAUUACUGGGCGUAAAGAGCUCGUAGGUGGUUUGUCGCGUUGUUCGUGAAAACUCACAGCUUAACUGUGGGCGUGCGGGCGAUACGGGCAGACUAGAGUACUGCAGGGGAGACUGGAAUUCCUGGUGUAGCGGUGGAAUGCGCAGAUAUCAGGAGGAACACCGGUGGCGAAGGCGGGUCUCUGGGCAGUAACUGACGCUGAGGAGCGAAAGCGUGGGUAGCGAACAGGAUUAGAUACCCCGGUAGUCCAA
rnacentral:rRNA from 1 species